UGAUGACAGUUCCUCCUGCCGCUCUGAGAUCUGGCGUGUCAGGGUUUUAGGUCAUCACAAAUUAAACAGGGUCUGUCUAAUCCAGUGUGUGGGAUGGCUGGGCUGUUUUCUGUCCACUCUGGAUAAAUCCAGAUUCAACAUGU
ensembl:snoRNA